GAUCCUGGCUCAGGAUGAACGCUAGCGACAGGCUUAACACAUGCAAGUCGAGGGGCAGCACAGGGUAGCAAUACUUGGGUGGCGACCGGCGCACGGGUGAGUAACGCGUACGCAACUUACCUAUCAGAGGGGGAUAGCCCGGCGAAAGUCGGAUUAAUACCCCAUGAAACAGGGGUCCCGCAUGGGAAUAUUUGUUAAAGAUUCAUCGCUGAUAGAUAGGCAUGCGUUCCAUUAGGCAGUUGGG
rnacentral:rRNA from 1 species